CCGGCCCCCACCCGCGGGCUCCCAGCUCCAGUCCUCUCCUGAGCUCUAGGACAACUCGGUGUCUGCAAGCCGGUUUCUCAGGGAGACUUCCCGCUAUCUACCCUUCUGCAGAGACGUGGGCUUUGAAGCCGGCCGUAGUGGCCUCUAGCUUGGAUCAUUAGCUCGACGAGAGCGGAGGCCUUGUCCUGUGAGUUCGCCGCUCUCAUUCCCAGACCAGGCCGGGGACACGCACAGGAUCAUUUGAUGUGGGAGAAACCGGCCACUAUGUUGUGAGGACACUCAAGCAGUCCUUUGGGGAGGUCUGUCUACAGCCACAUGAGUGAGAAGCAGAUCCUCCAGUGAGCCUUCAGAUAACUGAAGUCCCCGUCAAUAGCUUUACUCCAACCUCAUGAGAGACUCUGAAUGAAAACAUCCCAGCUAAGCCUCUCCUACAUUUCUAACCCACAGAAACUGUGAUUCGGACCACCUUUCUGUGCACGCACAUCAGCUGUCUUCAGAGGCUUACUCUUGACACCUUUGGGGUUGCACACAGGGAGCCAGUCACAGGAUGUUUGUUGUGUGCAGGUGAGGUGCAUGAAGCAUUACUUGUGGGCCAGAAGUGGGUAUCUGUAGUUGAGAUGUCCCCAGCAGCUCACCUUGACAGGGUUUGGAAGUGAUUCGUAAGAUCUGAAUUGCUUUGAUGCCCUCUGAGAGCUCUGGCUGCUGUUGUCUGUCAGCUUAUUCCCAUCCACAGUCAUGCAGCAUACCUCAGUAUUCUUGAUGGGGCAAGAAGUAAUUGGGUUUCUUUGGCAGUACAUAGUUUCACAGUCAAGCUGCUGUGUUCAUCUCCUUUAAGACAAGUUUGUCCUCAUUUUUUUUGUGUCCUCUCUCACCUUCAGGCCAAGUACACUGUUGGAGUGGCUCACAGUAUAUAUGAUCCUGUGUGAUUAAUUCAGUAUCUUCUACACUGUAUACAAUAAAUGCUCCAUAAAUCUUAUUAUAUGAAUGAAUAACUAAAUGAAUAUUCAGCUGCCUAAUGAACAUAUUUAUCUGAAUAUCUAGGUAUAAUUUAUAUAAUUGAUACUGAAUUAUCUUCUCCAUAUAGUGGUUCCUCCACUUGAGUUGCCCAUUCCAAUAUGUAUAUCCAUUUCUUAUUGUUUCUUCCUCUCCAUUCUGACGGUCACUUCCUUAGUGUAGGCCAAUACCAUUUAUUGCUUUACCAUUGUUAUAGCCUCCAUGCUUUUAAUUUUGCAUCAUGACCAUCUGGCCACCACAUUGUUGACAGUGAUUAUUCAAGAUAGAGACUAAGCCAGUCAAACUUACUAAAAGACUUACCAUGUCUCUGCUUAAUAAUUAGAAUAAAGUAGUGGGGGUAGAAAUAAAUAGAAGCUGGCUGUAAAUUACUGUUUACCAUGGGCACAGAGAGGCACUUACUGAAGUUAGCACACAAAAGCAAAAUAGUUCAUUUUUAUGUCACACCUUGAGAUUAUUUCCUUGAAAGGAGAAAAGGGAGUUUAUUGUUCUUGUUUGCAUUUCAUAGGCAUUUCCUGUCUCAGGAGUCAGGGAAAGGCAGAGGAUACAUGCUCAGAAAAGGGAAACCUGCAAAAUUUUUAUCAAGCGUAAAAAAUAGAGACUUAACCUCAAUAAUUUAGCUCCAGAUAAAUACACCUGAACACAUUUAUCUUACUGGUUGGUUCCUACAAGAGACUGGUGAGAGCCUCUGCUAUUUUGAGAAAGCUUCUUAGCAUAAUCAGGAAUAAAUUCAUAGAAAAAAACUAUUCCCAAAGGAGCCUAAUUGAAAAUAAACAUCAGUAACUCACAGCAAAAAGUUAAUUAUUACAUGCAGCAGCACAACAUACGUGACUUAACACAGUUUUCACAAGCCAACCCUACUUCUCUUACCUGGGAAAGU